rnacentral:rRNA from 1 species
GGCGAGGAAUACAUGGGUAACGUGCCUCGAGCACGAGGACAGCCGGGGGAAACUCCGGUUAAUACUCGAUAAGACCACAGCACCGCAGGGUGCAGGGGUCAAAGUGUGGGGACCUUCGGGCCUGCCGGCUCGAGAGCGGCCCAUGUCCUAUCAGCUUGUUGGUGGGGUAACGGCCUACCAAGGCUACGACGGGUACCGGGACUGAGAGGUUGACCCGGCGCAUCGGGACUGAGACACUGCCCGGACUCCUACGGGAGGCUGCAGUAACGAAUAUUGGGCAAUGGGCGAAAGCCUGACCCAGCGACGCCGCGUGUGGGAAGAAUGCCUUCGGGUUGUAAACCACUGUCAGGGAUUACCAACCAACCGGUGUGAAUAGCGCCGGGAGUUGAGGAGUCCCAGAGGAAGUCACGGCUAACUUCGUGCCAGCAGCCGCGGUAAUACGAAGGUGGCUAGCGUUGUUCGGAAUCACUGGGCUUAAAGAGCACGUAGGCGGAUGAUCAAGCGUCUUGUGAAAGCCCUCGGCUCAACCGGGGAAUUGCUUGGCGAACUGAUCAUCUUGAGGCAGGUAGGGGCGAGUGGAACUCUUGGUGGAGCGGUGGAAUGCUUAGAUAUCAAGAGGAACGCCAGAGGCGAAGGCGACUCGCUGGGCCUGACCUGACGCUGAGGUGCGAAAGCCAGGGGAGCGAACGGGAUUAGAUACCCCGGUAGUCCUGGCCCUAAACGAUGUCCACUAGGUCGGUGAGGUUCUAAUGCUUUGCUGGCCGAAACAAAAGCGUUAAGUGGACCGCCUGGGGAGUACGGUCGCAAGGCUAAAACUCAAAGGAAUUGACGGGGGCUCACACAAGCGGUGGAGCAUGUUGCUUAAUUCGAUGCAACGCGAAGAACCUUAUCCUGGGCUUGACAUACACGGAUGCCCUCCUGGAAACAGGUCGGGUUGCCCUUCGGGGUGAAACGUACACAGGUGCUGCAUGGCUGUCGUCAGCUCGUGUCGUGAGAUGUUGGGUUAAGUCCCGUAACGAGCGAAACCCUUGUCGCUAGUUGCCAGCGCGUAAUGGCGGGGACUCUAGCGAGACUGCCGGUGUUAAACCGGAGGAAGGUGGGGAUGACGUCAAGUCCUCAUGGCCUUUAUGCCCAGGGCUGCAAACGUG